rnacentral:rRNA from 1 species
UAAUACGGAGGAUGCAAGCGUUAUCCGGAUUUAUUGGGUUUAAAGGGUGCGUAGGCGGAUUAAUAAGUCAGCGGUGAAAACCUUCAGCUUAACUGGAGACUUGCCAUUGAUACUGUUAGUCUUGAGUAUGGUUAAGGUAGGCGGAAUGUGUAAUGUAGCGGUGAAAUGCUUAGAUAUUACACAGAACACCAAUUGCGAAGGCAGCUUACUGAGCCAUAACUGACGCUGAUGCACGAAAGCGUGGGGAGCGAACAGGAUUAGAUACCCUGGUAGUCCACGCCGUAAACGAUGAUCACUCGCUGUUGGCGAUACACAGUCAGCGGCUAAGCAAAAGCAUUAAGUGAUCCACCUGGGGAGUACGGCCGCAAGGCUGAAACUCAAAUGAAUUGACGG